UGAGGAAUAUUGGUCAAUGGGCGCGAGCCUGAACCAGCCAAGUAGCGUGAAGGAUGAAGGUCCUACGGAUUGUAAACUUCUUUUAUAAGGGAAUAAAGUCACCCACGUGUGGGUGUUUGUAUGUACCUUAUGAAUAAGCAUCGGCUAACUCCGUGCCAGCAGCCGCGGUAAUACGGAGGAUGCGAGCGUUAUCCGGAUUUAUUGGGUUUAAAGGGAGCGUAGACGGGUCGUUAAGUCAGCUGUGAAAGUUUGAGGCUCAACCUUAAAAUUGCAGUUGAUACUGGCGUCCUUGAGUACGGUUGAGGCAGGCGGAAUUCGUGGUGUAGCGGUGAAAUGCUUAGAUAUCACGAAGAACCCCGAUUGCGAAGGCAGCCUGCUAAACCGCCACUGACGUUGAGGCUCGAAAGUGUGGGUAUCAAACAGGAUUAGAUACCCUGGUAGUCCACACAGUAAACGAUGAAUACUCGCUGUUUGCGAUAUACAGUAAGCGGCCAAGCGAAAGCGUUAAGUAUUCCACCUGGGGAGUACGCCGGCAACGGUGAAACUCAAAGGGAUUGACGGGGGCCCGCACAAGCGGAGGAACAUGUGGUUUAAUUCGAUGAUACGCGAGGAACCUUACCCGGGCUUGAAUUGCAACUGAAUGAUGUGGAGACAUGUCAGCCGCAAGGCAGUUGUGAAGGUGCUGCAUGGUUGUCGUCAGCUCGUGCCGUGAGGUGUCGGCUUAAGUGCCAUAACGAGCGCAACCCUCGUGUCCAGUUACUAGCAGGUUAUGCUGAGGACUCUGGACAGACUGCCAUCGUAAGAUGUGAGGAAGGUGGGGAUGACGUCAAAUCAGCACGGCCCUUACGUCCGGGGCUACACACGUGUUACAAUGGGGGGUACAGCAGGCAGCUACCGGGCGACCGGAUGCCAAUCCCGAAAGCCUCUCUCAGUUCGGACUGGAGUCUGCAACCCGACUCCACGAAGCUGGAUUCGCUAGUAAUCGCGCAUCAGCCACGGCGCGGUGAAUACGUUCCC
rnacentral:rRNA from 1 species